CAGUGUACCCGCGGCAAGACGGAAAGACCCCGUGAACCUUUACUAUAGCUUGACACUGAACAUUGAGCCUUGAUGUGUAGGAUAGGUGGGAGGCUUUGAAGUGUGGACGCCAGUCUGCAUGGAGCCGGCCUUGAAAUACCACCCUUUAAUGUUUGAUGUUCUAACGUGGACCCGUAAUCCGGGUUGCGGACAGUGUCUGGUGGGUAGUUUGACUGGGGCGGUCUCCUCCUAAAGAGUAACGGAGGAGCACGAAGGUUGGCUAAUCCUGGUCGGACAUCAGGAGGUUAGUGCAAUGGCAUAAGC
rnacentral:rRNA from 1 species